UACGUAGGGCGCAAGCGUUGUCCGGAAUUAUUGGGCGUAAAGAGCUCGUAGGCGGCUUGUCACGUCGGAUGUGAAAGCCCGGGGCUUAACUCCGGGUCUGCAUUCGAUACGGGCUAGCUAGAGUGUGGUAGGGGAGAUCGGAAUUCCUGGUGUAGCGGUGAAAUGCGCAGAUAUCAGGAGGAACACCGGUGGCGAAGGCGGAUCUCUGGGCCAUUACUGACGCUGAGGAGCGAAAGCGUGGGGAGCAAACAGG
rnacentral:rRNA from 1 species